GACGAACGCUGCGGCGUGCUUAACACAUGCAAGUCGAACGGUAAGGCCCUUCGGGGUACACGAGUGGCGAACGGGUGAGUAACACGUGGGUGAUCUGCCCUGCACUUCGGGAUAAGCCUGGGAAACUGGGUCUAAUACCGGAUAGGACUCCGGACUGCAUGGUCUGGGGUGGAAAGCUUUUGCGGUGUGGGAUGGGCCCGCGGCCUAUCAGCUUGUUGGUGGGGUGAUGGCCUACCAAGGCGACGACGGGUAGCCGGCCUGAGAGGGUGACCGGCCACACUGGGACUGAGAUACGGCCCAGACUCCUACGGGAGGCAGCAGUGGGGAAUGUUGCACAAUGGGCGCAAGCCUGAUGCAGCGACGCCGCGUGAGGGAUGACGGCCUUCGGGUUGUAAACCUCUUUCAGCAUCGACGAAGCGAAAGUGACGGUAGGUGCAGAAGAAGGACCGGCCAACUACGUGCCAGCAGCCGCCGUAA
rnacentral:rRNA from 1 species